UAAGGAAUAUUGGUCAAUGGGCGCAAGCCUGAACCAGCCAUCCCGCGUGCAGGAAGACGGCCCUAUGGGUUGUAAACUGCUUUUCCAGGGGGAGAAUUUUUCUGUCGUGACAGGAAUUGACGGUACCCUGGGAAUAAGCAUCGGCUAACUCCGUGCCAGCAGCCGCGGUAAUACGGAGGAUGCGAGCGUUAUCCGGAUUUAUUGGGUUUAAAGGGUGCGUAGGCGGAUAGAUAAGUCAGUGGUGAAAACCUGCAGCUUAACUGUAGACUUGCCGUUGAUACUGUCAGUCUUGAGUAUGGUCAAGGUAGGCGGAAUGUGUAAUGUAGCGGUGAAAUGCUUAGAUAUUACACAGAACACCGAUUGCGAAGGCAGCUUGCUGGGCCAUUACUGACACUCAGACGCGAAAGCUAGGGUAGCAAACG
rnacentral:rRNA from 1 species